GGUCCUGUAGCUCAGUGGUUAGAGCACUCGCUUUCCAAGCGAGAGACCUGAUUUCAAUCCCCGGGGGGGUCA